GCCUUAACUGUGGGCCAUCUAAAAUUGGAACGAUACAGAGAAGAUUAACAUGGCCCCUGCGCAAAGAUGACACACAAAUUCAUGAACUCGGAUUACAGUCA
ensembl:snRNA U6 U6 spliceosomal RNA